CCAAGAAAUAAAGCAGAGAGAUCCUGCUCAUAAAACAUUUCGCUAAAGAGAAACAUUCGAGUUAAAACAUCCUGUUAACAAACGCCAUUCUCCUAACAAAAUACAGGGGAGAAGAAAGGAGAACCUUUAGAUCUGCAGGUAAAAUAGGUGGAGAGGGGUACAGGGAAAAGACUAAAUGAAAAGACGGUAGGAAUGCAAGACAGAAGAAGAAAAAGAUCAAUAACAAAUUGAAUGACAGGCUGUCUAUAUUGGUGCCAUGAGCAGGAAUGUGCAGGUAGGAGAAGCUGUAGUUUUGCUGUAUUGCCAGCCUACUCUUUGAAGCACCAGCCAUGGCCAGGGCCAGUACAGACAAUGUACAGUACUUGAUCUUUUUAAUAAAUAAGGUAAAAUAAG